AAAACGUAAAAAGUUAUUCAAUCGAUCAACGAUGAAUAUAUAAAAUGAAAGUUUUUUAAAUUUCGAUCUCUUCUUCAGCAGUUGGUAAAAUAACAUUAGUGAAUCGACUGCUGCACCAUCACCGUUAAGAACAGAGAUGGUAACAAUCGGAGCUUCAAGUUUUUCCCAGAGUUUCACAGGACUUCCUCUUCGUAUCGCUCCUAUAUUUCCGUCUCUGCCGAUCACCAUAAUUCGUCCAUCGCCAGCCCAUAAACCAGUAGUGGCAAAUGAUACAGGAGACCACUUUAGAAGAUGCUUGUCCAUAAUGGUAAAUGCUCUAAAAGAGGCGAAGAAAAAGUGAAAAAUUGAAAUGAUUCUGUAAAAAAUUAAUGCAUUUUUCGUACCUCGGAUCCAAUACGAAAAUCUCUUUGUUUUCUGUACCGAUUAUAAGACAACUACAAGCGGGAUCAUUCCACGAAUCCUUCCUGAUAACACCAAGGGUAGUCACUGCAUUAUUUUUAAUCAGAGGUACGCGGAGAAAUUGCUGCUGCCCCAAGUUCUUUCAAUAAUGAGUCUAGAUCAUCGGCCAAUGUCAGCACAUUUAAUUCUUCUUCGAGACCAGCCUUAUGCCAUAUCUGAAGAAAGCUCGGGUAUAUCGUGCAACGCAAAUAAUAUUAAUGGUACAGGAAAAGUAUAUAAUUUUAAUCUUAGACGCACUUCUCGCUCUUUAGGAUGAGCUUCGAGAUGCGGUAAGCAAUAU